rnacentral:rRNA from 1 species
AUUGAACGCUGGCGGCAGGCCUAACACAUGCAAGUCGAACGAGUGGCGGACGGGUGAGUAAUGUCUGGGAAACUGCCUGGUGGAGGGGGAUAACUACUGGAAACGGUAGCUAAUACCGCAUACCAUCAGAUGUGCCCAGAUGGGAUUAGCGAGUUGGUGGGGUAACGGCUCACCUAGGCGACGAUCCCUAGCUGGUCUGAGAGGAUGACCAGCCACAAGGGAACUGAGACACGGUCCAGACUCCUACGGGAGGCAGCAGUGGGGAAUAGUGCACAAUGGGCGAAAGCCUGAUGCAGCCAUGCCGCGGGAAUGAAGAAGGCCUUCGGGUUGUAAAGUACUUUCAGCGGGGAGGCGUUACCCGCAGAAGAAGCACCGGCUAACUCCGUGCCAGCAGCCGCGGUAAUUC